ACUUUAAUGUCAAGAAGCAGAUACUGAUUCUAAUAGAUACCUGGCAAGAAGCUUUUGGAGGACUGAGGGCAAGGUAUCCACAAUAUUUUGCAGCAUACCAGGAGUUGUUGAGGCAGCUGAGUCUUCUACAGAUUCUGAGUUCCCAACUUUGAGGUAUUUCUCUUAGCAAGUUUUUAAUGGAAGCUAAUUUAGUGGUACUUAAUGCCAUGAGCAUAGCCAUUUAUUUGAUACUUGUGCUGUUUUUUUAAGCUGCCUGUGAGAAUAUGAUGUUAAAAUUUGUUAUGCACACACACUUAAUUGGUGUAGUGUUCCAUUGUUAUUGUGAUUUCAUUUCAGUGGUCAAUCCACUCUACUUAUGGCUCCAUUAUUUUUUUAUUUUUUGUCAUGUCUUUCUUCUGAGUACUGGAGCACUAACUUCACCUGAUGAUUUGGGUAUUGCAAAAUAAGAAUGAGUAUUGGCUAUUUGUUUUAUUUUAAUUUUAAUGUUUGUGUUGCAUUUACUACUUCCUUUACCAUCUUCUGUGGUAAAAUUAGUAAUCAUGUUUCAUAAUUUGGCUAGAAUUUGAUUAGCUUGACAGAAAUUCAGAAUGCAUGUGGCAUUAUGGAUGUCCUUUCUGAAAUGCUGAAUGCAUUAGAUCGAAGCAACAAAGAGGCACUAUUCAAACUCUAUUUGAUUCAACACUUUGCUACUAAAUCUUGGUGCGAGUUGGAUAAUUAAUUGAUAUGUAAUGCUGAAACUUAUGAAAUUUAGAUAAGUUUUAAGAUCUUACAUGUAAGUUCUAAAUGUUUAUGAUAAAAAUUAUAAACCUCUAAUCCAUUCAGUUAAUUUUGCUCUUACUGUAGACUACAGUUUAAUGUUCAUUUUCUAGUUUUAUGAUGUGUUAACUUUAACUUGCAGGAUGUUAAGCAGGAGGUGAUUAUUGACUGGGUGGAACAGUGUCGAACAUCUUGCUAAUUCAACUAAGUCAUUGUUUUUCACCCACUUAGAUGAGUCACUGCUAUGUCAAGGAUUUCUUGUGUAACAGUCAACAGGUACUUGAAGACACAAGUGAAUCUUGAAACAUUUGAUUGUAUGUGAUACAUAGAUUCUUAUAUUACUUGUAAUAAAUUUUU